CCCUUAGAUGUUCUGGGCCGCACGCGCGCUACACUGAUGCAUGCAACGAGUUCUAUCCUUGGCCGGAAGGCCUGGGUAAUCUGUGAACGUGCAUCGUGAUAGGGAUAGAUUAUUGCAAUUAUUAAUCUUGAACGAGGAAUUCCUAGUAAACGCAAGUCAUCAGCUUGCAUUGAUUACGUCCCUGCCCUUUGUACACACCGCCCGUCGCACCUACCGAUCGAAGGUAAUGAUGAGCCCUCAGGAUUGUGGCCUCGUCGCGUCAGCGUCUUGGCUGCGAGAAUCUGUGCAAAUCCCUACCUUUAGAGGAAGGUGANGUCGUAACA
rnacentral:rRNA from 1 species